GAUGAACGCUGGCGGCGUGCCUAAUACAUGCAAGUCGAGCGAACAGACGAGGAGCUUGCUCCUCUGACGUUAGCGGCGGACGGGUGAGUAACACGUGGAUAACCUACCUAUAAGACUGGGAUAACUUCGGGAAACCGGAGCUAAUACCGGAUAAUAUAUUGAACCGCAUGGUUCAAUAGUGAAAGACGGUUUUGCUGUCACUUAUAGAUGGAUCCGCGCCGCAUUAGCUAGUUGGUGAGGUAACGGCUUACCAAGGCAACGAUGCGUAGCCGACCUGAGAGGGUGAUCGGCCACACUGGAACUGAGACACGCUCCAGACUCCUACGGGAGGCAGCAGUAGGGAAUCUUCCGCAAUGGGCGAAAGCCUGACGGAGCAACGCCGCGUGAGUGAUGAAGGUCUUCGGAUCGUAAAACUCUGUUAUUAGGGAAGAACAAAUGUGUAAGUAACUAUGCACGUCUUGACGGUACCUAAUCAGAAAGCCACGGCUAACUACGUG
rnacentral:rRNA from 1 species